AUACGUAGGGGGCAAGCGUUAUCCGGAUUUACUGGGUGUAAAGGGCGCGUAGGCGGGACUGCAAGUCAGGUGUGAAAUCUGGUGGCUCAACCACCAAACUGCACUUGAAACUGUGGUUCUUGAGUGAUGGAGAGGCAAGUGGAAUUCCUAGUGUAGCGGUGAAAUGCGUAGAUAUUAGGAGGAACACCAGUGGCGAAGGCGACUUACUGGACGAUAACUGACGCUGAGGCUCGAAAGCGUGGGGAGC
rnacentral:rRNA from 1 species